UACAUGGAACGCUUGAUAUUGCACUGACAUGAAUCCCAGUCAUCCCUUCAGAAGUUCAUCAAUGGCUCUCUGAUAAGGUGUUGAUGUGUGCAGACGGUAUAGUCCAAAAAGUGCCACAACAAUAUCUCCCAUCCUUCAUGGUCUUCUUGCAAUAGGAUGUUGACGCUGCCCUUUGAGAGGUGAGAGGUAAGAUGUUCCUUCCCUUGAAUCUGGAUGCACUUGUGACUCUGAAAGAAGGGCCACAUUAAAAGCAAGACCAUAAGGAGUUCCCAUUGUGGCUCAGGGGUUAGCGAACUUGACUAGCAUCCAUGAAGACGCGGGUUCAUCCCUGGCCUCUCUCAGUGGGUUAAGAUCUGGCAUUGCCAUGAGCUGUGGUGUAGGUCGCAGAUACAGCUCAGAUCCCACGUUGCUGUGACUGUGGUAUAGGCUGGCGGCUUCAAGCUCCAAUUUGACCCCUAGCCUGGGAACCUCCAUAUGCCAAGGGUUCGGCCCUAAAAGACAGACCAAAAAAAAAAGCAAGACCAUAAAAGGUGGUAUAAUUUCUGCCUGGACUUUUGGGGAUGCUCAUUCACGGAAUGCAGCCAGCAUACUGUAUGGAAACCCAACAUCCCUAUGGAGCCAUCAUGUGUAAGUGUUCCUGUCAACAUCUACAGCUGAAGUCCCAGCCACCCCAGAUUUCUUAAAGACACUGCAGAUGAUAUCAGCUUCAAGAUACCCUAAGCCUUGGAGUCUUUCCUGCUGAGCAUUCAGACAUCAUGGGACGGAACCAGCUUAUCCCUACUGUGCCCUUUACACAGUAAAGGUCCAUAGAAUCUUGAGUAUAAUAUAAUGGUUGCUCUUUUAUGCCAGUAAAUAUGGGGUGGUUUACUACGCAGCAAAAGAAAAAUGAUACAAUAUGCAAUAAGACAGGGCAACCUUUCUUGUACCACUCUAAGAGAAACUCUAGUAUCUUGGAAGGCAUUGCUAAGUUUUCUGAGAAAAAAAUAAAGGUUGAGGAGAGAGUAGUAGUUCUAUGGUCACUCAUACUAUAUCUCCUCCUUAAAAUUUUUCAUUGCAUAAAAAUAAAGGAAUGGUUUUAAGAACUCCCAAAGCAACAACUCAAAGCAUCUACCACUGUCAACACGGCAUACCCCAAAUACAUUUAACAAUAGCCUUCUUUUGUCAUCACACACAAAAUAUCCCACACCCCAAAAAAACUACAGUUUGUAAAAUAGCCUGAAACACUGGGUUAUAUUAACUUAAACUCACCAAAUCAAGCAAUCCCAAACACUGGCCAACUGUAAAAGAAUUUUAUUUUGUUUCUAAAACCUUGUAGUUGGCCUUAAAUGAGAAGCAUAAAGCAGUAAGACUGUGGUUGGAUGACUCAGCUAGUAUACUGUGCCCCCCCCAGAGGUUCCUAUAGGAAAACAGCCCUGUGAGGUAAUGAGGUGGUAGGGGGGAAGGCAUAUGCUAAGACCUCAUGCAUGUAUAAUUUGCAUAGAAUGUGCAGGCCUCGGCUUCUGCUGUACUAACAGGAACACAGCUUUUCCAGGCAAAGAAUGACAGGUCUGAAUGCAUUCAAGGAAAGGAAGGAUGGGAAAAAAAGACAACCCCUGCUUGAAGGAGACUGUAUUUCUAAGCAGUAAAAACCCUUGUUUUUCUGCAUGGCUUCUUUUUAUUUCAAAAUAAAAAGGAUUCACAAGCCAGAGUGGGAAAAGUGAUGCUCAGAUGGCCCAGAACAGUUAAUCUUGGUUGUUCAUACAGUGAUAGGCACCUUGGAGUCAGUGAGCCUGUCUCAUGCCUGGCGCCUGAGGCUUAGGUGGCAUUUUCAGUUCUCAGGUUUCCCAUCCACUUAUGUUACUAUGUUCUGCAUCAAAACACCAGAGCCUUGCUCUUUCAGUGUGAUUUGAUGCUGAUGAGAGGCAGGGUGGUACACAAGGUUAUCCAUCACCUCCAGCCAAAUGGCUGGCUCUGAGCCGGCUUACCUGGGCUGUGGGUAUGUGCCACUGCCACCUACUGGCUCUCUUCCCAAAGUACACUCUCCUUCCUAACUUUGAGCAGUUACAACUGCUGAGAUUUUAGGAAGAUGAAAUUCUCCAGAUCAAGAGAUACAAAAUACCAUAUAUUUAUUUCCAAGACAUCCACUGAUUAGCAACUUGAAAUUACCUUUCAUUUGAAAACUGAGAAGAGGUAAAUCAUAUAGCAGAAAGUUCCUGGGCUCUAUCUAAAAAGAUUGAACUUGCAAUUUAAAGAUGUAUAAGUAUGGGCCAUAAGUACCACAAACUGAGUGGCGUAAAGCAAGAGAAAUGUACUGUCGCAUAGUCCUGGAGGCCAGAAGUCUAAAAGCAAUCAUGGUUGGUUCCUCCUGGGUAACUCUGAGGGAGAACCUGCUCCAUGCCUCUCUCCUCGACCACAAUGGUUUCUGACAAUCUGCGAUGUACCUCAACUUGUGGGCACAUCACUCCAAUCCCCGCCUCCAUCACUAGUCUGUUCUCCUUGUGUGUCUGUGUCUCUAUUUUCCCUUAUUAUGACAAUACCAGUCAGAUCAGGGUCCAUUCUAAUCCAGUUUGACUUCAUUUUAACAAAACGCAUCUGCAAAGACCCUAUUUCCAAACAAGGUUGCAUUUGGAGCUUUUGGGUGAACAUGAAUUUGGAAGAGACAUUACUCAACCCAGUAUAAUGAGAGUCCAUAGAUACAGGGAAGAGUGAGAAAUUGGGUCCUUUUUGCAUAAAUUGCAUUAUCACUGUAACCAUAGUAGUUUUAUAUUUUUCUCUUUUAUUUAAAGAGAACUUACUACUAAAAAAUAGAAAUUGAAAAUUAUUAGUCUAGGACAAUCUUCUCAUUUAAGAGAUGAGGACAACGAAACCCAGAGAUAGAAUAUAGAUGGUCCGGAGUUCCCGUCGUGGCGCAGUGGUUAACGAAUCCGACUAGGAACCAUGAGGUUGCGGGUUCGGUCCUGCCUGCUUAGUGGUUAAUGAUCCGGCGUUGCCGUGAGCUGUGGUGUAGGUUGCAGACGCGGCUCGGAUCCGCGUUGCUGUGGCUCUGGCGUAGGCCGGUGGCUACAGCUCCGAUUGGACCCUAGCCUGGGAACCUCCAUAUGCCGCAGGAGCGGCCCAAGAAAUAGCAACAACAACAACAAAAACAAAAGACAAAAGACAAAAAAAAAAAAAAAAAAGAAUAUAGAUGGUCCAAAUUAGGGCCAGAGUCAAGAACAGGGCUCAAUGCAGAUCACUUCUCCUUUUGUUAUAUUGGCAACACCACCCAAGAGAGCAGAUCCAUUGCUACUGCCCCUGUUGUGAUUGUUGAGGUUAUUUAACAGCAGUGCACCCUGCUGGGUACUGUGGUAGGCAGAAAAAUGCCUCUCCCAAAGAUGUCCACAUUUCAAAACAUUUCAUUCAUUUAUUCAUAAUUUAAAACCUAUUUAUUGAUACACAAAUAUCUGAGAUUUUUAUUCAUUUUUUCAUUCAUGAGUCUUUUCAAUAGCUGUUUAUUAAGAACCUAUUUCUAGAAACUAUGGAUUCAAAAGUGAGCAAGACUGUUGAAGUCCCUGCCCUCUCUAGAGCUUACAUCCUAGAGGGAAAGACAGACAGCAUACAGGUUAUCAAAUGACUAUGUAAGAGUUUCAGAUAGAACUACAUUUUAUAAAGUAGUGAUGGGACAGAGUAUAACCAUGUAAAAAACAGAGGACACAAACAGCACAGUAGCCAGGGUCAGUGAAGGUCACUCAGGGGAUGAAACAUUUAAACUGAGAUGUGGAUGAAAAGAAAGCAGCCGUGUGAAUAUUUGAGGAGUGAGUAUCCAAGCAUAGAGAAAAGCAAUGAUGAAGACCCUGAAGUGGAAAAAGCUCUAUAUGCUUAAGGGACAAAAGAAGGCUAGCGUGGUUGGAUUCGAGUAGCUAGGGGUAGGUGGUAGUGACUUUGGUGGAAAAGCAUAGGCAGUGAGUUCAGCAGCAAAGAAGGGGGACUUUUGAGAAACGUGAUAUUGCAUUUAGAUUGUAUUCUAAUCACAAAGAGAAGCUAAGGGAGGGUUUUAAGCAAGAGUGAGAUAUAAUCUAAUUUACUGUGGGAGAAACAAAGAUUUUUAGACUUAUUCCCUGUUCAAGCGCAGGGGCACCCAGAGGGGUAGCCGUAGAUCAACCUACAUGGGAGGAUUAUGGGAAUGCCUGCGGAAGUCAUCUGGUGAGUCUUCAUAGCUGGUUUAGGCAAAGGAAGUGAGAAAAAAGAGGGAAGACAGACAGCAUCUCGAGAGCACAGGCAGCAUAAGUAAAGGCACUAUGGCAGAAACUGUGUGGGGCAGAGGAAUUCUAGCAGGUCAGAAUUAGUGGAGAAAGACAGUUAAGACACAGCACGGUGAGGUCUGAGGUAGAGUAGAACAGGACAAUUCAUGGAAGGCCUCAUAUAUGCUGGGAUAAGAAACAUGGACUUGAUCUUUUGGAUAAGAUGUCAGAGGAUUCUGAGCAGCAUGGCCAAAGUAUCCAACUUAUGAUUUCGACAGAGUAGCCUGAAGGGAUAGUUGAAGUCAAUUUGACAAGCAGAGAUGCCAAAGGAAAGUUAGGAGGCUGAUUACAUAAUCCUGACAGCAGCUGAUCAGAACCUGAACACAACUGCGUUGGUAGUAAUGUUAAUACUAACAGCUUUAACAACUGAGGUACUUGCUUUGUUCCAGGCACGUUAAAUAACUAAUAAAUAUUAAUUCAUUUAAUGCUCAUAAAAAUCCUGUAAGUUAAGACCUAUUACUAUCCCCACUUUACAGAUGAGGAAACAGAUAGAAGAUAGUUAAAUAGCUUUUCUAAAAGCAAUAGAGCAAUACAGUAGGAAUAAGUGGUAAAGCUGGGAGUGGGUACAAAGGGAAGGAAUUCCAGAAAUGCUUAGGGGAAAAAGUAUUUCAUGGAAUAUUUAAGAGGAAAAUUGGUAAUGUUUUCUCAGUAGAAAAAGUUAUGUAAAAAAACCCCACAUCCAGUGGUGCCUUGGGUGUUUGACUAUGCCACCGAAUGAGAUAGAAAAACACUGGGUAAACCAGGAGGCCUGUAGGGAAGUGGAUGGAUUCAGUUCGAGAUGUUUGAAACACCUUGGAGUAUUCAAAUGGGUACAGGUGAGCAGGAAUCUGAAAAGUAGUUUAUUUUCUUCUUUCAGUUCCAUUGAAUUAUAGCUGAAAAGAUGUCCACACUUUAAUCUCUAGAACCUGUAAAUAAAUUAUGUUACAUGUCAAAGGGGAAUCAAGGCUGCAGUGGGAAUUAAGAUAGCAAAUCAGUUGACCUACAGAGAGGAGAUUAUCCCAGAGUAGCCAAGUGAGUCAAAUGUGAUCACAAGGGUCCUUAAAAGUAAAAACGAAAGCCAGGGUGUCAGUCAGAGAAAGAUGUGACCACAAAAGAAAGGCUUGCUGAAGUUGGAAGAAGAGGACCACUAGUCAAACAACGUGGGUGGCUUCUGGAAGCAGGAGAAAUCAAGGGAACAUUCCUCCCUAGAGCCUCCAGAAAGGUACACAACCCUGACAACACAUUGGUUUUAGCCCAGUAAGACCCAUGUUGGACCUCUGACCUUCAGAACAGUAAGAUAAUCAGUAAAUUUGUGUUAUCCGAGCCUCUAAUUUUGUAGCUUUUUGUUACAGAAGCAAUACAACUAAUAAAGACAAUCUGGAGAAGAAUCUCUGCUCAAUAACAAGAGGUCUCUGUUCAAUAACAAGAGUUAGAAAUGGCAGGGUGCUCAGUGAGAUCAUGAAGGACUCAACUUCUCUCUUAUCAGAAGCCUCCUCACAACUCUGCCAAUAAUACUUUAUUAUACGCCUUAUUGGUCCAAACUGGGUUAUACAGCUACGCUUAGUUGCAAGGGAAGAUGAGAAAUCUAAUAUCUAGCGGGAGUAAUAGCAUUGUCAGGACUAGAUCAGCCAAGUCAUGAUUCACUGCUUGGGGCUGGAAAUAUUUUUGCAGCCUAGCAACAAGCUGGUAAGGAUGCAGGGAAAACGGGUAUUGGGGAGGUAAAUAAAUGGACUUCAACAAUGCCUUCAGGCUACUCUGUCUAAAUCAUAAAUUGGAUCCUUUGGCAAAGACAUAAUCUAGUAUCUGCUUGACUUUGAGAAGCUUAAAAUUGACAGGGUGUUGGGAAAACUAUUCACAUCUAUAAAAUCUAAAAACCCAAAAAGGUGCUUAUAAUCAAAUGUACCUAAUCAGAGCAUACAACACACAAAAGGAAGUGGCUGGAGUGUACUAACUGUGUAUAAGAAAUAAUACUUUCAGGGAGUUCCUGUCAUGGCUCAGUGGUUAAUGAAUCCGACUAGGAACCAUGAGGUUGCAGGUUGGAUCCCUGACCUUGCUCAGUGGGUUGGGGAUCCCGCAUUGCCUUGAGCUGUGGUGUAGGUUGCAGACGCGGCUCGGAUCCCGCAUUGCUGUGGCUCUGGUGUAGGCUGGUGGCUGCAGCUCCAAUUAGACCCCUAGUCUGGGAACCUCCAUGUGCCACGAGAGUGUCCCCAGAAAAGGCAAAAAGAGAAAAAAAAAAAA
rnacentral:lncRNA from 9 species